CACGUAGGGCGCAAGCGUUGUCCGGAAUUAUUGGGCGUAAAGAGCUCGUAGGCGGUCUGUUGCGUCCGCUGUGAAAACUCGGGGCUUAACCCCGAGCCUGCAGUGGAUACGGACAGACUAGAGGUAGGUAGGGGAGAAUGGAAUUCCCGGUGUAGCGGUGAAAUGCGCAGAUAUCGGGAGGAACACCGGUGGCGAAGGCGGUUCGCUGGGCCUUACCUGACGCUGAGGAGCGAAAGCGUGGGGAGCGAACAGG
rnacentral:rRNA from 1 species